rnacentral:pre_miRNA from 1 species
UCUUAUGGAUGUGCGAAAAAAGUGGUUUCUUGAGAUGGAUUCUACUCUUGGUAAAGAUGCUAUGAA